AACAACAUAACCAACAGCAUCCGUGGUCACGAGGCUUAAUGUUACACCUCCAAUGUUGGGCUGACAGCGGUAUUUUGCCUUCCCAGAGUAAACUGUUAACAGUCCUAAAUGUCAAUUGGUACCAUGCGUUAUUUCUGUCAUGAUAGGCAAUCCUAUAAAACCUAAUUCUUAUUCUCUAAACCAUGCAUUCUCAACAGGGGAAUAUCACCUCCAAAACCCAAAACAAACCAGUUGCGGCCGAGUCGACUGAAACUCGCAGCAACCCUGCGUGUUGCAGAGUUGAACUGCACCCCAUCGGGUUUCCAAGGCUGUGAAAUUUCUGAAGGAGAUAGCCAGGCCUUUCUUCUGAGGCAUCUCUGAAUGGGUUCGGACCGCCAACCUUUUGGUUAGUAGUUGAGUGCUUAACCAUUUACACCACCCAGGAAUCCAACCUCACCUCCAAGGGGCCAAAAAUUGGUUCUUGGAUAGUGAAAAAAACUUACUUUUUUAAAGUAUAAACCACAGGUAUACACACAGAACAAUAGUGCAUAUAUAUUAUAUGAAAUUUUCACAGGGGAAAAAUAUCAAAAAGCCGCUGGCGGACGGGCUGGAUGAUGAUAAAAGGCUGAGAAACACUGCUGUCGAUCGGCAGCUCAUGAACUUGGCUGCCCAUUAGAAUUACCUGAGGAACUUUAAAAAAUCCUGGUGCCUUGGUUUCACUCCCAGAGUUUCUGAUGUCAUUGGUCUGGGGUGUGGCCUGAGUUUGGUAGAUUUAAAAGCUUGCAGAUGAGGGCAGCCAAGUUUGAGAACACCGCCCUGGAUGGCAGAUGACACAAACCUUCCCUUCCUCCCUCCAACCCACGCUGUGGCAGAAAUGACUAAACCGCCAGGAUGCUCUCUCCCACAAAGCCCAGGUGUGGCUUUGGAAUUUUUUCUAGCUAUUAUUUUUGCAAUUUGUUGGAGUUGACACGUGAAAUGAGCCCUGUUUGCCAUCCCUGUUCUAGAUGGCCCCCUGGACUAGAACAGAACCAAAAAGCGAACCUUGAUGUUUUAGCCCCCAGACGUUUCUCAUUAAGUGUCAUGCCUUAUACUUCCUCAUCAUGAUUUUUUUUGAACAGCAUAAGGAGAGUAGAGAACGAAAACUGGUGGUAAACAAGAAGAGAGGAGGAAGUUCGUCUGGCAGAUGCCUAAGUCAUUAUCGGGUGCCGCCAAGUCGAUUCUGACUCAUAGUGACCCUAUGUGACACAGAGGAACUGCUUCAUAGAGUUUCCUAGGCUGUAGCCCUGGUGGUGCAGUAGUUAAACAGCUCGGCUGCUAACUGACAGGUUGGCGGUUGAAACCCACCAGCUGCUCCAUGGGAGAAAGAUGCGGCAGUCUGCUUCUGUAAAGAUUUACAGCCUUGGAAACCCUGUGGGCAGUUCUACUCUGUCCUAUAGGGUCACUAUAAGUCAGAAUCGACUUCGUGGCAAUGGUUUGGCUUAGUCUUUGGAGUCUUUAUCUGCUUCAUUUUACCGACCACUGGGCUCUCAGAUUGGAAUGUAUUACUGAUGGGAAAAGGGUGGAUAGUGGCUCAGAGAUGAGAUUCUUCCUCUUCAGAGCCUGGCUUACCAUAUCCCUCUCUCUGUGAAAUUCAUGCAAACCCAAAACGGACAUGCUGGCCAUCCUGCUUCUUGGGAAAACCGGGCUUCAACCAUCCUUUGUAGUCUUCUCUCUAGUGAGGUCUGCGGUUGUCAGGGUAACAGGAAAGAGCUGAAAGUCGGUUAAGAAAUGCCAAGAAUCAGUACUCCUGUUUGCUGGGACCCCAAGGCAGCUGGUUCACCAGUCACAGAGGUGGAGAGCACGGGUGUGUAAGCUGAGAGGUAGGGGGAGGAAGAGAAGCAGGAAAAGUUUGCAGGCAUCCUAGGAGUCCCUGGGGGGUGCAAACGGUUGAUGAACGCUGCUAACCGAAAGAUUGGGUGUUCCAGUUCACCCAGUGGUAACUUGGAAGAAAGGCCUGGCGAUCUAGGCCCAGAAAAAUCAGCUAUUGAAAACCCUAUGGAACACAGUUCUACUCUGACACAUAUGAGGUCGCUGUGAGUCAGUCAACUCAGCGGCAACUGCUAAACUGUCAGGAAUCCUGACCACCUUAGUUACACAUUCUGUAUCAAGCAACCAUGAUCAUUUUUUUUAAGACACAGAGUUCUAUAUGUAAACAUAGCCUUCUCCCAGCCCCAACACUGCAAGAGCUCUUAACGCGUAGUGGGAGAUCACACAGGUAAGGCCAACGAGUUGUUUCGGUUACAAAGACCUGCUCGGAGAGCGUGUCACGGUAAAAUUUAAAUUCGGCAUGAGUAUCUUUAUUCAUGAGUCUGGAUUCCUCAGAGUGAGGAUGUGUGUGCUUGUAUUCUCAUUUCAGUCAGCUUUCACAUCCAUCACAAAACACUCCAAUACAUGUAUUUGGCCUGCAGUUAGCACCUAUUCCUCCAGAGCCACGAGCAUUUUAUAAACAUUAACUCACUCACAUUAGUGAAAAGCAUCGUAUCCGACCACGGAGCCCACUGGAAAAGCCAACGACCUGCUUGGCUCUUAGCAAAACUGCUUUAUUGAUGGCUUCUGUGGAUUGAGUUGACACCGCCCUCCCUGCUCUGAUCUCCUUAUUUCAGGCCCACAACCGCCCGCCUGGCUUGGCCUCCUCUCUGCGCUCCCUGCUUCUGUCCUGGGAGUCCGCGCCUGGGCAAGGGCGCCCACCUAGGUCCCAGGGCGAGGGUCUGAGGCUCCCAAAGCCCUCCAUCAGGCGCCCUCCUCCCGUCGGGACCACUUGUCUGGAGGACUUCUCCGGGGCCCCUCGGCAGGACGCUGCUGUGGGGCCCAGCAGACAAGCCCCCAUUGUUGCCGGAGACCCCGGGGCGCACGGGCGGGGCACGCCUCUCUGCUUUCGGAGGCCGGGAACGUGCUGGGGAGAAGGCGGGCCCUGCUGUCAGCCCGGGGAACAAAAGCCGCCAGGGCCAGGCUGGUUUGCAAGAUCAACAUUCAUGAGUUCGACCGCUUAGAAAGGCGAAUUGUGUGCAACCCUGGGCCUGAAUGGGAGCCAUAAAUAAGGGAUUUCACACUACCAAGCUAGAAGAAUCUUCUGCCUCCUAAAAUAUUCUGAACAGCUUGUACGGCCCCUCCCAGGUUCCCACCGCGGGCGGGCUCUCGGGUGUGUGCGUGUGAGUGCCCAAGCCUGGCUGUCAGGGGCCAGGGGACUGGAUGCAGCGCCCGUGUCGCUCCCGAAACGUCAGUCCGGGUUUUCCCGGGAGCUGCGCCGGCGGUCUGUUCCAGUCGUGCGGAUCCAGGCCCGGAUUUCCCGCCUGCCGCCGCCCGCGCGCUGGGGCCCCGGCCUGAGCCCCUGCGCAGGCGCGUUUCACAUUUGCUCGCCCCGCACCCUAUCAAAGGCUUUCAUCCGCCGCCGGAGCAGGGACGUGCGCCCCCCCCACCCCAGCUACCCUCCUUGUAACCCGCUUUACUCUGAAAUGUAAAUGUGCCCCUUGAUGCGAAAGGGAAGGGCAACCGGGUGUUGGAUUUUUUUUUUUUUUGCAGUCCGUGCACACAUAUGCCUCCCCCUCCAGCCCUUGUGCGGGCCCACCUAGUGCCUCGACCUCCCCUUCUCCCCCAUGGAGCUGUGCAGACCCCGCAGAGGCCCCGGACUCGGCCUCCCCUUCUCCCUCGUGGAGCUGUGCAGACCCCGCAGGGGCUCCGGACUCGGCCUCCCCUUCUCCCUCGUGGAGCUGUGCAGACCCCGCAGGGGCCCCAGACUCGGCUCCCCCUUCUCCCUAUGGCUGUCCUCCGCCUACUGGUCCCUGUUCCUUUACAGUCGUCAUGCUGUGCAAGCAUCGCCAGUAUCCAGUGCCGAGUUUCCCAUCACCAUCAACAGCUGCUCACUGCUUCCUGAACAGUGGCUCCCCGGUCCCCCUCCCUCCUGCCCCUGGUAACCACUUAUAAACUUUGGUCUCUGCGCAUUUGCCUGUUUUAGGUAUUUGGUACGAGUGGAAUCAUACAAUACUUAACUUUUUGUGUCUGACUUAAUUCACUCGGCGUAAUGUUUUCAGGGUUCGUCCAUGUUGUCGCGUGUAUCAGGACUUCAUUUCUCUUUAUGGCUGAGAAAUAUUCCAUUGCAUAGACAGACUACAUUUGAAGAAAUAUUAUUUAAUACAGCUUAGGGAACAGAUGGCUAGGGCCUGGCUUUGCUAGAAAAAAAAAAAGCAUUAUGCUGCUGUUACCUGAUGAGGGUCCGUGUCCUGGAGCAGUCGAGCCAAUGAAACAUACUCCAAGUCCGAAAGAGUGAGAAAGUUUAUUAAGGAGGUGCAUACAUCACCGGGGACCGGCAGCAACACAGGCUGUCUCUGUGGGGUCCCAAAGAGCAGUUUUACAUUAGAGCUUAUGUAGAAUCUGACAAGGGUUACAGGUGUCUUUGUAGUCCCCUGCCAGACAUUUCUUUAUUAGGCUAAAGAUAUACAUAUCUGAUACCUGGGCUCCACCUUUCCUGUGGGGGUUGUAGGCCACAGGUGGUCCGGACAGAACAAGAGGUUAUUUGCAUCAUUUAAAGCAAAGAACAAAGUCCUUAACAUUUGGUCAAAACAAAGUCAUUAACAGAAGUAUGUGAGGAGGCAGGCAGAGGAAGAACAACUUAUAGGUUUAUCAUGGCCUUAGUUAUGUUAAGCUCUCAGUUGCCCAUUUUGAAAAAGGAGGAAACACACUGGGGAGUAUUGGGGCCACAGAAGGAAACAACCUUGGUUUAGCUUCUCUGUUGUUAGUUGCCUCCAGGUGGAACCUGACGCCUGGCAACCCCUGUGUGCGGAGUAGCACAGCUCCGUGGGGUUUUGCGAGGCUGUGACCUUUCAAAAGUAGAUCACCAGGCCUUUCUUCUGUGGUGCCUCUGGGUGGGUUCGAACCGCCAACCUUUUGGCACGGUCAAGCACUUAACCAUGUGUGCUACCCAGAGACUCCAUCCAAAGCAUCUGAAUGACCGGUCAGUUUGUAGUGGCGCGUUCUGAAUUGUUGCCGGUUGUUUUUUCUGCAUUUGGCUCCGUUAGGCAGAACCUGUGUAUAGUGGAGAAAUUGCAUCUUUUAGCUGGUGUCUAAAAUGAGUCCCCAGCCGGCCCACGAUGAACACGGAGGUUUUGGAGCCUGCCUGAUGGAGCUGCCCCAGCACGCGGAGUACCUGUGGGGAGGCUGCUGCCCUGGAGAACGCCCGCCCCUCUGAACGUACGUAAUCCCCUUCCCAGGGGAGAGGCUUCCCGAAACGACUUGAGCCACUGUAUACAGGAAAAUGGUUCAUCGAUCUUGUAGCCGGAAAUGUCCGAGGAGCUCAAUGCAGGAGGAUGGGCCUUUGAUCUGAGGGUGGAGCACACGCAGGCUGGGGGACAGGCGGCCCCAAGUUAAGUCAGACGGUGAGUGAGGCUGUGGAAUUUUACCAAAGCUUUUUUUGUGCGUGCAUUGCGGUUUAUCCUGGGAAGUACAAACAGAUCACCAGAGAGCAAACCUAAAAUUUCAAACAGUAAAAGCUGUCCCCAGUGAUCUUUAUCAAGGUAGACCCUGGUCUCGCCAGAAAAUGCUGUGUUCUCCUGUGGUUAUUAAAAAUAACAUUCUCAAAGCGACACUUCCCUGUUGGGGCGCCCCUGGGGAAAUGGCUGGAUUUGGCUUCCUGGGUGCUGGUCAGCUGGCCCGCUGUGCUCCCUGAUUGCGAUUCACCGUGAUUUCUCCUGCCGCCCUGCCCGUGAGGACUGUGGAGCAGUCUGUCUCGGUGUGGGAGAAGUGAUUAGGGGCAUGGAGGGAUCACCCUGCUGCUAUCAGCACUGAAGUAUUUUCAAGGAAUUGACCUUGCAGUCGCUGCCAGUUGGAAACCAUGGCAACCAC